GAUGAACGCUGGCGGCGUGCCUAAUACAUGCAAGUCGAGCGAACAGACGAGGAGCUUGCUCCUCUGACGUUAGCGGCGCACGGGUGAGUAACACGUGUAUAACCUACCUAUAAGACUGGGAUAACUUCGGGAAACCGGAGCUAAUACCGGAUAAUAUAUUGAAGCGCGGGGUUCAAUAGUGAAAGACGGUUUUGCUGGCACUUAUAGAUGGAUCCGAGCCGCAUGAGGUAGUUGGUAAGGUAACGGCCUACCACGGGGACGAGGCGUAGCCGACCUGAGAGGGUGAUCGGCGACACUGGAACUUAGACACGGUCCAGGCUCCUACGGGAGGCAGCAGUAGGCAAUGUUCCGCAGAGGGCGGGAGCCUGACGGAGUGGCGCCGCGCGUGUGAUGAAGGUCUUCGGAGCGUAAAGCUCUGUUACUGGGGAAGAACAAAUGUGUAAGUAACUAUGCACGUCUUGACGGUACCGAAUAAGAAAGCCACGGCUAACUACGUG
rnacentral:rRNA from 1 species